CAUUAAGAAGCUAUGAAACAGCGCUAGCCUUUUAAGCUAGAGACAGAGGACCCACGCCUCCUUAAUGA
rnacentral:tRNA from 1 species